UGAUUUAGUUAAGCUAGUUAUAACACUGUUGUAGUACUCACUCUGUUACCCUGGUGAUUUAGUUUAGCUAGUUAUAACACUGUUACCCUGGUGAUUUAGUUAAGCUAGUUAUAACACUGUUACCCUGGUGAUUUAGUUAAGCUAGUUAUAACACUGUUACCCUGGUGAUUUAGUUAAGCUAGUUAUAACACUGUUGCAGUACUCACUCUGUUACCCUGGUGAUUUAGUUAAGCUAGUUAUAACACUGUUACCCUGGUGAUUUAGUUAAGCUAGUUAUAACACUGUUACCCUGGUGAUUUAGUUAAGCUAGUUAUAACACUGUUACCCUGGUGAUUUAGUUUAGCUAGUUAUAACACUGUUGUAGUACUCACUCUGUUACCCUGGUGAUUUAGUUUAGCUAGUUAUAACACUGUUACCCUGGUGAUUUAGUUAAGCUAGUUAUAACACUGUUGCAGUACUCACUCUGUUACCCUGGUGAUUUAGUUUAGCUAGUUAUAACACUGUUACCCUGGUGAUUUAGUUAAGCUAGUUAUAACACUGUUGCAGUACUCACUCUGUUACCCUGGUGAUUUAGUUUAGCUAGUUAUAACACUGUUACCCUGGUGAUUUAGUUAAGCUAGUUAUAACACUGUUACCCUGGUGAUUUAGUUAAGCUAGUUAUAACACUGUUGUAGUACUCACUCUGUCCCUCCAGAGGCAGGCAUGGCUGGGUAUGGUGAGUUCCUGUGUAACAGAACCUGCUCCUAGAUCCUUUAUGGGUCAGCGUACCCUGGUCUCUCCCUGGUUCUGGGUUUGGAUGUUGGGUUUGGGUCGGAGUCCUGGGCCUAGUUAAAGAGUCCUGGGUCUUAGGUGUUGGAUGUUGGGUCCUGGGUCUAGUCCUGAGUCUUUAGUUCUGGUCUCUCCUGUAUAUCUCUGAGGUAGAGCUCAGUAGUUUGGUCUUCUCUCUCUGCAGACGGUGUUCUCAGUGGCUGGGGGUCAGGUCUGUCUAGGGAAAGUCCCUCUCAAUGCCUCCCUCCCCCCUUGUUGAGCGUCUCUCCUCCCUCCCUCCUCGUCCCACCUCCUCCCCCACCCUUCACAUACUCUGG
rnacentral:lncRNA from 1 species